rnacentral:rRNA from 1 species
AUUGAACGCUGGCGGCAUGCCUUACACAUGCAAGUCGAACGGCAGCACGGGUGCUUGCACCUGGUGGCGAGUGGCGAACGGGUGAGUAAUACAUCGGAACAUGUCCUGUAGUGGGGGAUAGCCCGGCGAAAGCCGGAUUAAUACCGCAUACGAUCUACGGAUGAAAGCGGGGGACCUUCGGGCCUCGCGCGAUAGGGUUGGCCGAUGGCUGAUUAGCUAGUUGGUGGGGUAAAGGCCUACCAAGGCGACGAUCAGUAGCUGGUCUGAGAGGAGGACAAGCCACAUGGGGACGGAGACACGGCCCAGACUCCUACGGGAGGCAGCAGUGGGGAAUUUUGGACAAUGGGCGAAAGCCUGAUCCAGCAAUGCCGCGUGUGUGAAGAAGGCCUUCGGGUUGUAAAGCACUUUUGUCCGGAAAGAAAUCCUUGGCCCUAAUACGGUCGGGGGAUGACGGUACCGGAAGAAUAAGCACCGGCUAACUACGUG